GUACUGAGACACGGACCAGACUCCUACGGGAGGCAGCAGUGAGGAAUAUUGGUCAAUGGGCGAAAGCCUGAACCAGCCAUGCCGCGUGAAGGAUGACAGCCCUAUGGGUUGUAAACUUCUUUUGUACGGGAAGAAACGCUUCUACGUGUAGAGGUUUGACGGUACCGUACGAAUAAGCAUCGGCUAACUCCGUGCCAGCAGCCGCGGUAAUACGGAGGAUGCAAGCGUUAUCCGGAUUUAUUGGGUUUAAAGGGUACGUAGGCGGGAGCUUAAGUCAGUGGUGAAAUCCUGCAGCUUAACUGUAGAACUGUCAUUGAUACUGGGCUUCUUGAAUGUAGUUGAGGUAGGCGGAAUGUGUAAUGUAGCGGUGAAAUGCUUAGAUAUUACACAGAACACCGAUUGCGAAGGCAGCUUACUAAACUACGAUUGACGCUGAGGUACGAAAGCGUGGGGAGCGAACAGGAUUAGAUACCCUGGUAGUCCACGCUGUAAACGAUGAUCACUCGUUGUUGGCAAUACACCGUCAGCGACUGAGCGAAAGCAUUAAGUGAUCCACCUGGGGAGUACGACCGCAAGGUUGAAACUCAAAGGAAUUGACGGGGGCCCGCACAAGCGGAGGAACAUGUGGUUUAAUUCGAUGAUACGCGAGGAACCUUACCUGGGCUUAAAUGUAGAACGACGGACCGGGAAACUGGUCUUUCUUCGGACGGUCUGCAAGGUGCUGCAUGGCUGUCGUCAGCUCGUGCCGUGAGGUGUCGGGUUAAGUCCCAUAACGAGCGCAACCCUCAUCAUUAGUUGCCAGCGGGUAAUGCCGGGGACUCUAAUGAAACUGCCGGUGUAAACCGAGAGGAAGGUGGGGAUGACGUCAAGUCAGCACGGCCCUUAUGUCCAGGGCUACACACGUGUUACAAUGGUCGGUACAAAGGGCAGCUACCUGGCGACAGGAUGCUAAUCUCGAAAACCGAUCUCAGUUCGGAUCGAAGUCUGCAACUCGACUUCGUGAAGCUGGAUUCGCUAGUAAUCGCGCAUCAGCCAUGGCGCGGUGAAUACGUUCCCGGGCAUUGUACACACCGCCCGUCAAGCCAUGGAAGCUGGGGGUACUUGAAGUCCGUAACCGCAAGGAGCGGCCU
rnacentral:rRNA from 1 species